rnacentral:ncRNA from 2 species
GCGGGUCGCCGCGUGCCGGCCGGGG